UUACCUCAAAUGAAUAUAACCUGUAUAACCUCUGAAUAUGGCAUGAGGGUCUCUACCAGGAACCUUAAAAUCCUGAUUACAGAAAAUGAACGGUUCAUU
rnacentral:ncRNA from 2 species